GACGAACGCUGGCGGCGCGCUUAACACAUGCAAGUCGAACGGAAAGGCCUGCUUUCCCUUGUGGAUUGCGGGUACUCGAGUGGCGAACGGGUGAGUAACACGUGAGUGAUCUGCCCCCAACUUGGGUAUAAGCCUGGGAAACUGGGUCUAAUUCCCGAUAGGACUGCAGGGUGGUGCCUGUGGUGGAAAACGAUUUUCUAGUGGUUGGGGAUGAGCUCGCGGCCUAUCAGCUUGUUGGUGGGGUAAUGGCCUACCAAGGCGGCGACGGGUAGCCGGCCUGAGAGGGUGGACGGCCACAUUGGGACUGAGAUACGGCCCAGACUCCUACGGGAGGCAGCAGUGUGGAAUAUUGCACAAUGGGCGGAAGCCUGAUGCAGCGACGCCGCGUGGGGGAUGACGGCCUUCGGGUUGUAAACUCCUUUCGACCGCGAGGAAGCCACCUGGUUGGAAGGGUGGUGACGGUAGUGGUAGAAGAAGCACCGGCUAACUACGUG
rnacentral:rRNA from 1 species